rnacentral:rRNA from 1 species
AUUGAACGCUGGCGGAAUGCUUUACACAUGCAAGUCGAACGGCAGCACGGACUUCGGUCUGGUGGCGAGUGGCGAACGGGUGAGUAAUGUAUCGGAACGUGCCCAGUCGUGGGGGAUAACGUAGUGAAAAUUACGCUAAUACCGCAUACGAUCUAUGGAUGAAAGCGGGGGAUCGCAAGACCUCGCGCGAUUGGAGCGGCCGAUAUCAGAUUAGGUAGUUGGUGGGGUAAAGGCCCACCAAGCCAACGAUCUGUAGCUGGUCUGAGAGGACGACCAGCCACACUGGGACUGGGACACGGUCCAGACUCCUACGUGAGGCAGCAGGGGGGAAUUUUGGACAAUGGGCGAAAGCCUGAUCCAGCCAUUCCGCGUGCAGGAUGAAGGCCCUCGGGUUGUAAACUGCUUUUGUACAGAACGAAAAGGUUUCUACUAAUACUAGGAGCUCAUGACGGUACUGUAAGAAUAAGCACCGGCUAACUACGUGCCAGCCGCCGCUGUAA